rnacentral:rRNA from 1 species
AUUGAACGCUGGCGGCAGGCCUAACACAUGCAAGUCGAGCGGUAACAGGAGAAAGCUUGCUUUCUUGCUGACGAGCGGCGGACGGGUGAGUAAUGUAUGGGGAUCUGCCCGAUAGAGGGGGAUAACUACUGGAAACGGUGGCUAAUACCGCAUAAUGUCUACGGACCAAAGCAGGGGCUCUUCGGACCUUGCACUAUCGGAUGAACCCAUAUGGGAUUAGCUAGUAGGUGGGGUAAAGGCUCACCUAGGCGACGAUCUCUAGCUGGUCUGAGAGGAUGAUCAGCCACACUGGGACUGAGACACGGCCCAG